UUCCCAGCAGGUUGACUGUUAGUUCUACUUUGACCCCCAACACCCCAGUGAGACCAACUACCAAUAGCUCCACUAAAUGUUUGACCUCUCCUUUGACCCCCAGUACAGCGGUGAAUCCUUCAUCAGGUUCAACUGUUAAUUCUUCUCAGACCACUGACACUCCAAGUAAAGGUAAGUAUGUCCACUAGACUUUAGUUUAGUGUGUAAUAAGUUGUGU